rnacentral:rRNA from 1 species
GUCGAACGGUGAAGCCCCGCUUGCGGGGUGGAUCAGUGGCGAACGGGUGAGUAACACGUGAGCAACCUGCCCCUGACUCUGGGAUAAGCGCUGGAAACGGCGUCUAAUACUGGAUACGAGACGUGAUCGCAUGGUCAACGUUUGGAAAGAUUUUUCGGUUGGGGAUGGGCUCGCGGCCUAUCAGCUUGUUGGUGAGGUAAUGGCUCACCAAGGCGUCGACGGGUAGCCGGCCUGAGAGGGUGACCGGCCACACUGGGACUGAGACACGGCCCAGACUCCUACGGGAGGCAGCAGUGGGGAAUAUUGCACAAUGGGCGCAAGCCUGAUGCAGCAACGCCGCGUGAGGGAUGACGGCCUUCGGGUUGUAAACCUCUUUUAGCAGGGAAGAAGCGAGAGUGACGGUACCUGCAGAAAAAGCACCGGCUAACUACGUGCCAGCAGCCGCGGUAAUACGUAGGGUGCAAGCGUUAUCCGGAAUUAUUGGGCGUAAAGAGCUCGUAGGCGGUUUGUCGCGUCUGCUGUGAAAUCUGGGGGCUCAACCCCCAGCCUGCAGUGGGUACGGGCAGACUAGAGUGCGGUAGGGGAGAUUGGAAUUCCUGGUGUAGCGGUGGAAUGCGCAGAUAUCAGGAGGAACACCGAUGGCGAAGGCAGAUCUCUGGGCCGUAACUGACGCUGAGGAGCGAAAGGGUGGGGAGCAAACAGGCUUAGAUACCCUGGUAGUCCACCCCGUAAACGUUGGGAACUAGUUGUGGGGUCCAUUCCACGGAUUCCGUGACGCAGCUAACGCAUUAAGUUCCCCGCCUGGGGAGUACGGCCGCAAGGCUAAAACUCAAAGGAAUUGACGGGGACCCGCACAAGCGGCGGAGCAUGCGGAUUAAUUCGAUGCAACGCGAAGAACCUUACCAAGGCUUGACAUAUACGAGAACGGGCCAGAAAUGGUCAACUCUUUGGACACUCGUAAACAGGUGGUGCAUGGUUGUCGUCAGCUCGUGUCGUGAGAUGUUGGGUUAAGUCCCGCAACGAGCGCAACCCUCGUUCUAUGUUGCCAGCACGUAAUGGUGGGAACUCAUGGGAUACUGCCGGGGUCAACUCGGAGGAAGGUGGGGAUGACGUCAAAUCAUCAUGCCCCUUAUGUCUUGGGCUUCACGCAUGCUACAAUGGCCGGUACAAUGGGCUGCAAUACCGUGAGGUGGAGCGAAUCCCAAAAAGCCGGUCCCAGUUCGGAUUGAGGUCUGCAACUCGACCUCAUGAAGUCGGAGUCGCUAGUAAUCGCAGAUCAGCAACGCUGCGGUGAAUACGUUCCCGGGUCUUGUACACACCGCCCGUCAAGUCAUGAAAGUCGGUAACACCUGAAGCCGGUGGCCUAACCCCUCGGGGAGGGAGC